rnacentral:rRNA from 1 species
GACGUAGGUCGCGAGCGUUGUCCGGAUUUAUUGGGCGUAAAGAGCUCGUAGGCGGCUUGUUGCGUCGACUGUGAAAACCCGCGGCUCAACCGCGGGCCUGCAGCCGAUACGGGCAGGCUAGAGUUCGGUAGGGGAGACUGGAAUUCCUGGUGUAGCGGUGAAAUGCGCAGAUAUUGGGAGGAACACCGGUGGCGAAGGCGGCUACCUGGACCGGUUCUGACGCUGAUGCGCGAAAGCGUGGGUAGCAAACAGG